AUUAUUUAUUAUCGGCAAAUAUUAUUUCUUCUUCUUGUGAAGCAUUCAAAAAAAAAGGAAGAAAUCAACAACACUACAACACAAACAUUCGGCACACCAUACAUCUAUGUACAUAUAUACAUA
rnacentral:ribozyme from 14 species